GUUUCUUCUUUUUUAUAUUUUUAUCUAUUUAUUUUGGUAGGCUUUCAUACUGUGGCCUGGCUGGCCUUGAACUCAGUCAUCCUGUUUCAGUCUCCUGCAGCUGUCCUGACACACAGGACUUCUUGCUUUCUACUCCUGCAACCCUCCUCAGUUCUGAACCUUCAUUUUGUUAUUAUGGGGUUUUGUUUGUUUGUCUUUAGAGUGGAAAUGCAAGAUGCUUUGAGGGAGCAAACUUCCAACGUGGUGCAAAUGGUAAGAUUAAUAACCAAGGAUGUUCAUUACUUUGCACAUUCUGCAAAGAUUAUAGAUUCUGCUGUAGAAAAUCAGUAGCACUUACUCAGGAUAAGGUACGGGGAGCAGCAUUUUAAAACAGAAAAACAGAGUAUAAUAAUGUGAAACCCAUCAUGAAACCAAAUCCUUCAAGAUUCCUAAGUACACAUUUCCACAUGUACACAUUUUUUU
rnacentral:lncRNA from 1 species